CCUACGGGAGGCAGCAGUGGGGAAUAUUGCACAAUGGGGGAAACCCUGAUGCAGCGACGCCGCGUGAGUGAAGAAGUAUUUCGGUACGUAAAGCUCUAUCAGCAGGGAAGAAAAUGACGGUACCUGACUAAGAAGCCCCGGCUAACUACGUGCCAGCAGCCGCGGUAAUACGUAGGGGGCAAGCGUUAUCCGGAUUUACUGGGUGUAAAGGGAGCGUAGACGGCAGCGCAAGUCUGGAGUGAAAUCCCAUGGCUUAACCAUGGAACUGCUUUGGAAACUGUGCAGAGAGAGUGCAGGAGAGGUAAGCGGAAUUCCUAGUGUAGCGGUGAAAUGCGUAGAUAUUAGGAGGAACACCAGUGGCGAAGGCGGCUUACUGGACUGUAACUGACGUUGAGGCUCGAAAGCGUGGGGAGCAAACAGGAUUAGAUACCCUGGUAGUC
rnacentral:rRNA from 1 species